rnacentral:rRNA from 1 species
UUGGAGGGCAAGUCUGGUGCCAGCAGCCGCGGUAAUUCCAGCUCCAAUAGCGUAUAUUAAAGUUGUUGCAGUUAAAAAGCUCGUAGUUGAAUUUCGGGGUUAGUAGGUUGGUCAUGCCUCUGGUAUGUACUGGUCUCACUGAUUCCUCCUUCCUGAUGAACCUUAAUGCCAUUAAUUUGGUGUUUUGGGGAAUUUGGACUGUUACUUUGAAAAAAUUAGAGUGUUUAAAGCAAGCUAACGCUUGAAUACAUUAGCAUGGAAUAAUGAAAUAGGACG